rnacentral:rRNA from 1 species
CAAUAGCGUAUAUUAAAGUUGUUGCAGUUAAAAAGCUCGUAGUUGGAUUUGUGGCGUACUGUGUGUUCCGGGCACUUGUUGCCUGAGUAACCUGCUGUUGCCAUCCUUGGGUGGAACCUGUGUGGCAUUAGGUUGUCGUGCAGGGGAUGCCCAUCAUUUACUGUGAAAAAAUUAGAGUGUUCAAAGCAGGCUUAUGCCGUUGAAUAUAUUAGCAUGGAAUAAUGAGAUAGGACUUUUUUGCUAUUUUGUUGGUUUGCGCAAAGAGGUAAUGAUUAAUAGGGACAGUUGGGGGUAUUCGUAUUCCAUUGUCAGAGGUGAAAUUCUUGGAUUUUUGGAAGACGAACUACUGCGAAAGCAUUUACCAAGGAUGUUUUCAUUAA